rnacentral:ribozyme from 13 species
GAAAGAGAAAGAGAAAGAGAAAGAGAAAAAAGAAAGGGAGGAGAAAAGAAAACAAGAUGAUGUCUCUUCUCUUUGUUGCUGUUCUUUCUCUUUGUUUUGUU